GAUGAACGCUGGCGGCGUGCCUAAUACAUGCAAGUCGAGCGAACAGACGAGGAGCUUGCUCCUCUGACGUUAGCGGCGGACGGGUGAGUAACACGUGGAUAACCUACCUAUAAGACUGGGAUAACUUCGGGAAACCGGAGCUAAUACCGGAUAAUAUAUUGAACCGCAUGGUUCAAUAGUGAAAGACGGUUUUGCUGUCACUUAUAGAUGGAUCCGCGCCGCAUUAGCUAGUUGGUAAGGUAACGGCUUACCAAGGCAACGAUGCGUAGCCGACCUGAGAUGGUGAUCGGCCACACUGGAACUGAGACACGGUCCAGACUCCUACGGGAGGCAGCAGUAGGGAAUCUUCCGCAAUUGGCGAAAGCGUGACGGAGCAACGCCGCGUGAGUGAUGAAGUUCUUCGGAUCGUAAAACUCUGUUAUUAGGGAAGAACAAAUGUGUAAGUAACUAUGCACGUCUUGACGGUACCUAAUCAGAAAGCCACGGCUAAGUACGUG
rnacentral:rRNA from 1 species